CACCAAGGGGUUCACCCAUCAGCCAUGUGAGGCUAGGCACGGUGGUGCCGCGCUGAGCCCUGAUCUUCUCAUUAGCCAGUGAUGACACCUGCCCUGCCUUUCCCAUAAGGUGGUUCAGGAAACGAAAUAACGUGUGCGGAUGUUCUCAUCAAGAGGUGCACAACGAAACACUCUGAGAGGGAAUGAGAAACAUCAAUUUCUUGGCACAAAGAAAGGGCUUAGGCUAACAUACUGGUUACAAUUAUACUUAAAUGAUUCAUUAUAUUUAACUACGCAACUU